GUUGGGUGUGGUGGCACACGCCUGUAAUCCCAGGGGCUCAGGAGGCAGAGACAGGAGGAUGGCGAGUUCAAGGCCAGCCUCAGCAACGGCUAGGCAUGAAGCAACUCAGUGAGAACUUGUCUCUA
rnacentral:sRNA from 1 species